AGCAUUAUGAUAAUAUAUAAAGUGAAACCUGCCCGGUGAAAUUUUUAACGGCCGCAGUACCUUGACUGUGCUAAGGUAGCAUAAUAAAUUGACUUUUAAUUGAAGCCUUGUAUGAAAGGAAUAAUGGAUAAGCGCUGUCUCUAUUUAAUUUAUUUAAAGUUACUUAAAAGGUGAAAAUACCUUUUUAAAUUUAAUAGACGAGAAGACCCUAGGAGUUUAUUUUAUUUUUUUUUAUAAAAAUAUUUUGUUGGGGCGACAUUACAGCAAUAUAAAUUAACCUGUGAUAUAUUUGAAGAUUAAACGAAAAAUUUUAAUUAAGAUUAAACUACCCUAGGGAUAACAGCAUAAUUUUUAAAAAGUUUGUGACCUCGAUGUUGGACUAGGAAAUUUUAAUAUUAACAGUAUUAAAAUAAUGUUCUGUUCGAACAAUUUUUCCUACAU
rnacentral:rRNA from 1 species